rnacentral:rRNA from 1 species
UACGUAGGGGGCAAGCGUUGUUCGGAAUUAUUGGGCGUAAAGGGCGCGUAGGCGGUUUGACAAGUCUGAUGUGAAAUCUCUGGGCUCAACCCAGAGUCUGCAUUAGAAACUGUCGGGCUUGAGUAUGGGAGAGGUGAGUGGAAUUUCCGGUGUAGCGGUGAAAUGCGUAGAUAUCGGAAGGAACACCUGUGGCGAAAGCGGCUCACUGGACCAUAACUGACGCUGAGGCGCGAAAGCUAGGGGAGCGAACGGG